UCGGAAUCUGGGAGGACCAUCUCCCAAGGCUAAAUACUCCCUAGUGAUCGAUAGUGAACCAGUACCGUGAGGGAAAGGUGAAAAGCACCCCGGAAGGGGAGUGAAAGAGAUCCUGAAACCGUGUGCCUACAAAUAGUCAGAGCCCGUUAACGGGUGAUGGCGUGCCUUUUGUAGAAUGAACCGGCGAGUUACGAUCCCGUGCGAGGUUAAGCUGAAGAGGCGGAGCCGCAGCGAAAGCGAGUCUGAAUAGGGCGUUUAGUACGUGGUCGUAGACCCGAAACCAGGUGAUCUACCCAUGUCCAGGGUGAAGUUCAGGUAACACUGAAUGGAGGCCCGAACCCACGCACGUUGAAAAGUGCGGGGAUGAGGUGUGGGUAGCGGAGAAAUUCCAAUCGAACCUGGAGAUAGCUGGUUCUCCCCGAAAUAGCUUUAGGGCUAGCCUUAAGUGUAAGAGUCUUGGAGGUAGAGCACUGAUUGGACUAGGGGUCCUCAUCGGAUUACCGAAUUCAGUCAAAC
rnacentral:rRNA from 1 species